AUGUCCGCCGCCAGCGUUGUCCGUUUGUCGCGGUCGGCCACCAGAUUCGUGGCCAAGGCCGCGAGCGGCUUCCACCUGCUCCGCAUCGACGGCUACUCGCAGGCCAAGACGAUCCUUCCCGGCCAGAAGAUCUCCUCCAUGGCCUUCGCCGUCGGCGGGCAUUCCUGGCGCAUGGACUACUACCCCAACGGCCGCGACACCUCCGCCAAGUCCAACGCCGUCUCCGUCUACCUCCAGCGCAUCGACCGCGGCCAGGAGGAUCCCCUCCAGGCGCAGUACAAGUUCAGCCUGGUGGACCACGCCGGCAACGCGGCGUACGAGCUCCCGGCCCAGACCGGCACCUUCAUCUCCGUCCCAGAAGUCAACGUCUACCAGCGCCAUGCCGCGACGGGGACCUUCGGCGGCCCCGCCGAAGGCGAACCAGGGCCAGGAUGCGGCCUCGAGGAGUUCAUCGUCAAGGAAGAGCUGGAGAAACGGGAGCAUCUGAUCCGCAACGACUGCCUCAUGGUCCGGUGUGACGUGGGCGUCACAGAGGUGGGAACCUCAUGGCUGGCGACGGACGAGAUAACGAACGAUUACGAAGAAGAAGAUAGUGAUGAUGAUGAUGGGUACGGCGCGGGGACCCCUCGCCGCCGUCGUCGCCGCCGUCGUCGGGACGACGGCGAAUACGUCAAGUGGUGUUUGGCCCAACGACCUAGGUGA
rnacentral:rRNA from 1 species